rnacentral:rRNA from 1 species
ACUUGGAUAACUGUAGUAAUUCUAGAGCUAAUACAUGAAUAUGUGCUUUGGUUCACGCCAAAUGCGAAUUUAUUAGAUCAAAACCAACCGGUUUCGGCCGUUAAAUUGGUGACUCUGGAUAACUAUUCUGAUCGCAUGACCUUGUGUCGGCGACGUAUCUUUCAAGUGUCUGCCCUAUCAACUUAAGUUGGUGAGUUAGUUGCUCACCAUGGUUAUAACGGGUAACGGAGAAUCAGUGUUCGAUACCGGAGAGGGAGCCUUAGAAACGGCUACCACAUCUAAGGAAGGCAGCAGGCGCGCAAAUUACCCACUCUCAGAACGAGGAGGUAGUGAAUUUAAAUAGCGAUGAUGAACUCUUAUGAGGCUCGUCAAUCGAAAUGAGUACAAUUUAAAUCCUUUAACGAGUACCAAUUGGAGGGCAAGUCUGGUGCCAGCAGCCGCGGUAAUUCCAGCUCCAAUAGCGAAUAUUAAAUUUGUUGCAGUUAAAAAGCUCGUAGUUGGAUCCAAGGUUAGGCAUGCCUGUCUGUUCUUAGUAGCAUGACUGUGUGUGUCUGCCUUUAUUAGUUGAAUGUUCAUUAUGGUGGUCUUCAUCGACUGCUAUGAUGUGCUCAACACGUUUACCUUGAAAAAAUCAGAGCGAUCAAGGCAGGCCUUCGUGCUUGUAUGUUGUUGCAAGGAAUAAUAGAAUAGGACUUCGGUUCUAUUUUGUUGGUUUUGAGAAUUGAAGUAAUGAACAAUAGAGACAGUCGGGGGCAUUUGUAUGGUGGCGUUAGAGGUGAAAUUCUGAGAUCGUCGCCAGACAAACUACUGCGAAAGCAUUUGCCAAGGAUGUCUUCAUUAAUCAAGAACGAAAGUCAGAGGUUCGAAGACGAUCAGAUACCGUCCUAGUUCUGACCAUAAACGAUGCCGACCUACAAUCGGGGGUGGUUUAUUAUAUUGACCCUCCCGGCUGUCCUCAGGAAACUUUAAGUUGGUUCUGGGGGGAAUAUGGUCUCAAGACUGAAACUUAAAGGAAUUGACGGGAGGGCACCACCAGGAGUGGAGCCUGCGGCUUAAUUUGACCCAACACGGGGAAUCUCACCCGGUCCGGACACUGGUAGGAUGGACAGAUUGAUAGCUCUUUCUUGAUUCAGUGGGUGGUGGUGCAUGGCCGUUCUUAGUUGGUGGAGUGAUUUGUCUGGUUAAUUCCGAUAACGAACGAGACUCUGUCCUGCUAAAUAGUCCAGUGGCAUCAAUC